rnacentral:rRNA from 1 species
AACGAACGCUGGUGGCAGGCUUAACACAUGCAAGUCGAACGCCCCGCAAGGGGAGUGGCAGACGGGUGAGUAACGCGUGGGAAUCUACCCAUCUCUGCAGAAUAGCUCCGGGAAACUGGAAUUAAUACCGCAUACGCCCUACGGGGGAAAGAUUUAUCGGGGAUGGAUGAGCCCGCGUUGGAUUAGCUAGUUGGUGGGGUAAAGGCCUACCAAGGCGACGAUCCAUAGCUGGUCUGAGAGGAUGAUCAGCCACAUUGGGACUGAGACACGGCCCAAACUCCUACGGGAGGCAGCAGUGGGGAAUAUUGGACAAUGGGCGCAAGCCUGAUCCAGCCAUGCCGCGUGAGUGAUGAAGGCCUUAGGGUUGUAAAGCUCUUUCACCGGUGAAGAUAAUGACGGUAACCGGAGAAGAAGCCCCGGCUAACUUCGUGCCAGCCGCCGCGGUAA